rnacentral:lncRNA from 1 species
CGGCGAAACUUUGAUCAUUCUGAUUCCGGCUGCUGGAAAUAGAGAGAGAAAAGAAGUUGGGGAAGGUUUAACUUGGUGGUUUCCCUUGGAUUAUCAUAUAUAGCUCCUUCUUGUGUUGACUUUGAACUCUAAUGCCAAAUCUCCUUUCUUCAAGGAGGUGUCAUAUCCCUAACCUAGAUACAUAUUCAGCCAGACUGUUCUGUCCC